GGAUGCAAAAGUCGUAACACGGUUUCCGUAGGUGAACCUGCGGAAGGAUCAUUCACACAUUGCGUCUCCAAGCGAUUUCAUCAUCGGAAUGGCUUUUUGAAAGCGUUUUGCUAUGUUGGAGUCUGCUAGGGGGGAGCGCCGACAAACCAACGUAAACCAAUCCUUGAAUCGCUUUGCUUUCCCUCCACAACGUUCUUUUGUUAUUAAAAAAGAAAUGAAUGAACUUCUCUUUGUAUGAAAGAUGGAUUUUAACGAUGGAAGAUCUGUCGCAUGCAAGGGGAGGUGUUAGCGCAUGCGGGGGGUGGGGCUGGUUGGGGCUGCAUGCAUGCAUGCAUGCAAGUAUGCAUGCAGCCCCAUGCAUGCAUGCGUGUAUGCUUGCAUGCAUGGAUGCAUGCAUGCAAGUGUGUGUGUGUAUGCAUGUAUGUCCUCAAUCGAUCCCACCAUUUGCUUAAUUUUGCGCUAUUUAUUGAAAAAAAGCAUUUGGCUUUAAAAAACUUUCAGCAAUGGAUGUCUUGGCUCACGCAUCGAUGAAGGACGCAGCGAAAUGCGAUACGCAUUGUGAAUUGCAGAUUUUAGUGAACCAUCAGAUUUCUGAACGCAUAUGGCGCUGCCGGGAUUUCUCGGCAGCACGUCUGUUUCAGUGUCUUUUGAUCUCUCCUAUAAGUAUACUUACCACCAUUGGCAGGGCACAGUUUAUGAUACUGUGCGCGUUUAAUGUGUGGUUGGUAUCAUUUGCACGUCGCAGUUUUUAUGUAAUUGCGUCGUGUGAAGAUUUGUUUUGGAGUCACCACAAGUACAUAUUAUUAUGUAUGUGUGCUGACAAGCAAAGAUUGAUAUGGUGUUAUCCUUUCGUUCAUGAAAGAGAUACGGUGGUUUAUUAUUAAGCUGCUGAUAUGUAUCUCAUCAAUAAUGAACGAUUCUAGCAUGCAUAUAUGUUGGGUGUGUAUGUCGAUGGUGGUAUAUGACUUUUGUUCUAUACUACUAUUGGAAGCCUAUUUAUGUAUGUGUGGGAUAAUAAUUCAUUAUCAAUUAUGCUUGAUGUGGGAUAUAUUCCAAAAUAUAUAGGUAUAUUGAAGAACAUAUACAUAUAUCUAGACCUGAAAUCAGUCGAGGCUACCCGCUGAAUUUAAGCAUAUUAUUAAGCGGAGGA
rnacentral:sRNA from 1 species